GAUGAACGCUAGCUACAGGCUUAACACAUGCAAGUCGAGGGGCAGCAUUUCAGUUUGCUUGCAAACUGGAGAUGGCGACCGGCGCACGGGUGAGUAACACGUAUCCAACCUGCCGAUAACUCGGGGAUAGCCUUUCGAAAGAAAGAUUAAUACCCGAUGGUAUAAUCAGACCGCAUGGUUUGAUUAUUAAAGAAUUUCGGUUAUCGAUGGGGAUGCGUUCCAUUAGGCAGUUGGUGAGAUAACGGCUCACCAAACCUUCGAUGGAUAGGGGUUCUGAGAGGAAGGUCCCCCACAUUGGAACUGAGACACGGUCCAAACUCCUACGGGAGGCAGCAGUGAGGAAUAUUGGUCAAUGGGCGCAGGCCUGAACCAGCCAAGUAGCGUGAAGGAUGACUGCCCUAUGGGUUGUAAACUUCUUUUAUAUGGGAAUAAAGUUUUCCACGUGUGGAAUUUUGUAUGUACCAUAUGAAUAAGGAUCGGCUAACUCCGUGCCAGCAGCCGCGGUAAUACGGAGGAUCCGAGCGUUAUCCGGAUUUAUUGGGUUUAAAGGGAGCGUAGGUGGACAGUUAAGUCAGUUGUGAAAGUUUGCGGCUCAACCGUAAAAUUGCAGUUGAUACUGGCUGUCUUGAGUACAGUAGAGGUGGGCGGAAUUCGUGGUGUAGCGGUGAAAUGCUUAGAUAUCACGAAGAACUCCGAUUGCGAAGGCAGCUCACUGGACUGCAACUGACACUGAUGCUCGAAAGUGUGGGUAUCAAACAGGAUUAGAUACCCUGGUAGUCCACACAGUAAACGAUGAAUACUCGCUGUUUGCGAUAUACAGUAAGCGGCCAAGCGAAAGCAUUAAGUAUUCCACCUGGGGAGUACGCCGGCAACGGUGAAACUCAAAGGAAUUGACGGGGGCCCGCACAAGCGGAGGAACAUGUGGUUUAAUUCGAUGAUACGCGAGGAACCUUACCCGGGCUUAAAUUGCAUUUGAAUAUAUUGGAAACAGUAUAGCCGUAAGGCAAAUGUGAAGGUGCUGCAUGGUUGUCGUCAGCUCGUGCCGUGAGGUGUCGGCUUAAGUGCCAUAACGAGCGCAACCCUUAUCUUUAGUUACUAACAGGUCAUGCUGAGGACUCUAGAGAGACUGCCGUCGUAAGAUGUGAGGAAGGUGGGGAUGACGUCAAAUCAGCACGGCCCUUACGUCCGGGGCUACACACGUGUUACAAUGGGGGGUACAGAAGGCAGCUACCUGGUGACAGGAUGCUAAUCCCAAAAGCCUCUCUCAGUUCGGAUCGAAGUCUGCAACCCGACUUCGUGAAGCUGGAUUCGCUAGUAAUCGCGCAUCAGCCAUGGCGCGGUGAAUACGUUCCCGGGCCU
rnacentral:rRNA from 1 species